rnacentral:tRNA from 1 species
GUUUCAGGUAGCUUAAACACCAAAGCCUUGGUCUUGUAAACCAACCAUGGACGACACCCGUCCCCGAAACA